rnacentral:rRNA from 1 species
AUGAACGCUAGCGACAGGCUUAACACAUGCAAGUCGAGGGGCAGCACAGGUAGCAAUACCGGGUGGCGACCGGCGCACGGGUGAGUAACGCGUAUGCAACUUACCUAUCAGAGGGGGAUAACCCGGCGAAAGUCGGACUAAUACCGCAUGAAGCAGGGGCCCCGCAUGGGGAUAUUUGCUAAAGAUUCAUCGCUGAUAGAUAGGCAUGCGUUCCAUUAGGCAGUUGGCGGGGUAACGGCCCACCAAACCGACGAUGGAUAGGGGUUCUGAGAGGAAGGUCCCCCACAUUGGUACUGAGACACGGACCAAACUCCUACGGGAGGCAGCAGUGAGGAAUAUUGGUCAAUGGGCGUAAGCCUGAACCAGCCAAGUCGCGUGAGGGAUGAAGGUUCUAUGGAUCGUAAACCUCUUUUAUAAGGGAAUAAAGUGCGGGACGUGUCCCGUUUUGUAUGUACCUUAUGAAUAAGGAUCGGCUAACUCCGUGCCAGCAGCCGCGGUAAUACGGAGGAUCCGAGCGUUAUCCGGAUUUAUUGGGUUUAAAGGGUGCGUAGGCGGCCUUUUAAGUCAGCGGUGAAAGUCUGUGGCUCAACCAUAGAAUUGCCGUUGAAACUGGGAGGCUUGAGUAUGUUUGAGGCAGGCGGAAUGCGUGGUGUAGCGGUGAAAUGCUUAGAUAUCACGCAGAACCCCGAUUGCGAAGGCAGCCUGCCAAGCCAUGACUGACGCUGAUGCACGAAAGCGUGGGGAUCAAACAGGAUUAGAUACCCUGGUAGUCCACGCAGUAAACGAUGAUCACUAGCUGUUUGCGAUACAGUGUAAGCGGCACAGCGAAAGCGUUAAGUGAUCCACCUGGGGAGUACGCCGGCAACGGUGAAACUCAAAGGAAUUGACGGGGGCCCGCACAAGCGGAGGAACAUGUGGUUUAAUUCGAUGAUACGCGAGGAACCUUACCCGGGUUUGAACGCAUUCGGACCGAGGUGGAAACACCUUUUCUAGCAAUAGCCGUUUGCGAGGUGCUGCAUGGUUGUCGUCAGCUCGUGCCGUGAGGUGUCGGCUUAAGUGCCAUAACGAGCGCAACCCUUGCCACUAGUUACUAACAGGUAAAGCUGAGGACUCUGGUGGGACUGCCAGCGUAAGCUGCGAGGAAGGCGGGGAUGACGUCAAAUCAGCACGGCCCUUACAUCCGGGGCGACACACGUGUUACAAUGGCGUGGACAAAGGGAAGCCACCUGGCGACAGGGAGCGAAUCCCCAAACCACGUCUCAGUUCGGAUCGGAGUCUGCAACCCGACUCCAUGAAGCUGGAUUCGCUAGUAAUCGCGCAUCAGCCAUGGCGCGGUGAAUACGUUCCCGGGCCUUGUACACACCGCCCGUCAAGCCAUGGGAGCCGGGGGUACCUGAAGUACGUAACCGCAAGGAUCGUCCUAGGGUAAAACUGGUGACUGGGGCU